rnacentral:rRNA from 1 species
AUUGAACGCUGGCGGCAGGCUUAACACAUGCAAGUCGAGCGGGGUGAUGGUGCUUGCACUAUCACUUAGCGGCGGACGGGUGAGUAAUGCUAGGAAUCUGCCUAUUAGUGGGGGACAACAUCUCGAAAGGGAUGCUAAUACCGCAUACGUCCUACGGGAGAAAGCAGGGGAUCACUUGUGACCUUGCCCUAAUAGAUGAGCCUAAGUCGGAUUAGCUAGUUGGUGGGGUAAAGGCCUACCAAGGCGACGAUCUGUAGCGGGUCUGAGAGGAUGAUCCGCCACACUGGGACUGAGACACGGCCCAGACUCCUACGGGAGGCAGCAGUGGGGAAUAUUGGACAAUGGGGGGAACCCUGAUCCAGCCAUGCCGCGUGUGUGAAGAAGGCCUUAUGGUUGUAAAGCACUUUAAGCGAGGAGGAGGCUCUUUUGGUUAAUACCCAAGAUGAGUGGACGUUACUCGCAGAAUAAGCACCGGCUAACUCUGUGCCAGCCGCCGCAGUAA